GGGGACAAAGUGACAGGUGGUGCAUGGUUGUCGUCAGCUCGUGUCGUGAGAUGUUGGGUUAAGUCCCGCAACGAGCGCAACCCUUAAGCUUAGUUGCCAUCAUUAAGUUGGGCACUCUAAGUUGACUGCCGGUGACAAACCGGAGGAAGGUGGGGAUGACGUCAAAUCAUCAUGCCCCUUAUGAUUUGGGCUACACACGUGCUACAAUGGACAAUACAAAGGGCAGCGAAACCGUGAGGUCAAGCAAAUCCCAUAAAGUUGUUCUCAGUUCGGAUUGUAGUCUGCAACUCGACUACAUGAAGCUGGAAUCGCUAGUAAUCGUAGAUCAGCAUGCUACGGUGAAUACGUUCCCGGGUCUUGUACACACCGCCCGUCACACCACGAGAGUUUGUAACACCCGAAGCCGGUGGAGUAACCUUUUAGGAGCUAGCCGUCGAAGGUGGGACAAAUGAUUGGGGUGAAGUCGUAACAAGGUAGCCGUAUCGGAAGGUGCGGCUGGAUCACCUCCUUU
rnacentral:rRNA from 1 species